CUAUCUCAAUAUCAUUGAAAACUCCUUUCAAUGGGUUGGAAUGAUUCCAACUCAACUCGUUAGGGUUUAUCGAUCAUCAAGAUAAUCCCUAUGAGUCCCACCAUCCACCAGUGACACCUAGCAGCAUGUAGUGGCUACCCAGCAGAAUGGAAUGAUGAACCUCUAGGUGCAGUUAACAUGUGAUACAGUCCUACUAUCGUGGAUCCCUACAGGACGGAGGUCAUGGAUAACUCGUCAAACCCCAUCGUCU
rnacentral:lncRNA from 1 species